GGCCACAUCAAGUUGAAGCAUCGGUUCUCAUAAGAUCACCGGAGUUAAGUAAAGUCGAGCUUGGUCAGUACCUAGAUGGGUGACCGCAUAGGAAUAACAGGUGCUGUAAG